rnacentral:rRNA from 1 species
UACGAAGGGAGCUAGCGUUGUUCGGAAUUACUGGGCGUAAAGCGCACGUAGGCGGCUUUGUAAGUUAGAGGUGAAAGCCCGGGGCUCAACCCCGGAAUUGCCUUUAAGACUGCAUCGCUUGAAUCCAGGAGAGGUGAGUGGAAUUCCGAGUGUAGAGGUGAAAUUCGUAGAUAUUCGGAAGAACACCAGUGGCGAAGGCGGCUCACUGGACUGGUAUUGACGCUGAGGUGCGAAAGCGUGGGGAGCAAACAGG